GCAGUGGUGCAUUGAGUAUAGAAGUUGGGAGGUCAUGUUGCAGUCGUAUAAGAUGUCGGUGAGUGCUUUUAGAGUAUUGUGUUCAGUUCUAGGCACCAUGUUAUAGGAAAGAUAUUGUUAAGCUUGAAAGGGUUCAGAGAAGAUUUACGAGGAUGUUGCCAGGA